rnacentral:rRNA from 1 species
UACGGGGGGAGCAAGCGUUGUUCGGAUUUACUGGGCGUAAAGGGCGCGUAGGCGGCACCGCAAGUCGACUGUGAAAUCUCCGGGCUUAACCCGGAAAGGUCAGCCGAUACUGCGGGGCUAGAGUGCAGAAGGGGCAACUGGAAUUCUCGGUGUAGCGGUGAAAUGCGUAGAUAUCAGGAGGAACACCUGUGGCGAAAGCGGCUCACUGGACCACAACUGACGCUGAGGCGCGAAAGCUAGGGGAGCAAACAGG